UCCAGAUUGAAGGAAUGUUAUUUUCAGCUGCGGAGUUGUAUGAUAGUUUGCGACGGGAGCCUGUAUGGAUGUAGGGGCGACGUCGAAGAAGGCCGAACUGUCGGAGUCGGAGAAGCUGCUAGGACGUGUACCGAAGAGCCAUGAUCGUGUGGAGAUUUGCGGAGGAUGGGAAUGACCGCACAGAGGCCAGCAGUAAGGCUGCGAACAGCCACCACAUAGCAGCUGAUAAGCUGGACGUUCAGGCCGGCGAGCGGCGAUGAUCAGCCGCACAAGGUGAUCACGACAGUCAACGCGGGAGCAGGCCUUGUGUGGUCAAAACGGGAAAAAUCAUGCCGUGACAGGCGAUGGCCAGGCUAGGGUACAGUCCUGAAACUGAAGCAGCGCCGAAAAACCACCACAACCAGGGCUGAAGAAAGCAUAGAGGGAGGGAACCAGCAGGAGAAACCAGCAAUGGGACAAAGAGUCAAAAACACAAGUACAACUACGAACGAAACCCUGCCCAUUCAGAGACACCUGCACUGUGAUUUGAUUGGUUGAUGCACCUGAAGGAAAAGUUGCCCCUCCAUCACGGACCCCUGGCUGACAGAAAAGGGAAUAUUGCAAGUUGUGAUGUAAUGAGAUAUGAAGGGAAAUCGUCCUGCAGAAACCUCAGAUCGGAAUUUGCAAGACCUGUCUCUUCUGUCCUUGUCUCAUCAUGGACACGGUUCCAAAAAACACCUGGAAGUCACAGUAAGUACUCUCAGUUUCCCUCCACCUUUAAUGUGUUUCUAUUUGUGAAUUUUGAA